UUCUUGCUGUUUUGAACCUUUGGAGAAAACUUUCUGCCCAUUCAUUUGGCAUUUGACGUAAAUUCGCCAAAUCAGCCAAAGUGACUUCAGAUUCAGUUUUGUAAAACUGAGCAUGAAACAACUGUUCCAGUUGUUGCCAUGUUUGAACAGAGUUCGCUGGCAAGUUAAUGAACCAGGAGAAAGCUACUCCUGUUAACGAACUAGGGA
rnacentral:lncRNA from 1 species